rnacentral:rRNA from 1 species
CCUACGGGAGGCAGCAGUGGGGGAUAUUGCACAAUGGGGGAAACUCUGAUGCAGCGACGCCGCGUGGGCGAAGAAGUAUUUCGGUAUGUAAAGCCCUAUCAGCAGGGAAGAAGAAAUGACGGUACCUGAGUAAGAAGCACCGGCUAAAUACGUGCCAGCAGCCGCGGUAAUACGUAUGGUGCAAGCGUUAUCCGGAUAUACUGGGUGUAAAGGGAGCGCAGGCGGCACGGCAAGCCUGAUGUGAAAGCCCGCGGCCCAACGGCGGGACUGCAUUGGGAACUACCGGGCGGGAGUGCCGGAGAGGUAGGCGGAAUUCCUAGUGUAGCGGUGAAAUGCGUAGAUAUUAGGAGGAACACCAGUGGCGAAGGCGGCCUACUGGACGGUGACUGACGCUGAGGCUCGAAAGCGUGGGGAGCAAACAGGAUUAGAUACCCGAGUAGUC